AACGCACCUUGCGCCCCUUGGUAUUCCGAGGGGCAUGCCUGUUUGAGUGUCAUUAAAUUCUCAACCUUACUAGCUUUUACGAGCUAUGUAAUGGCUUGGAUGUGGGGGUCUUUUGCUGGUUUAAACAAAUCAGCUCCCCUUAAAUGUAUUAGCUGGUGCCCCGCGUGGACUAUCUAUUGGUGUGAUAAUUAUCUACGCCGUUAGAUGUUCGCUAUUAAAUGGGAUGUACUGCUUCUAAUAGUCCUUCUUGGACAAUUAUUGACCAUUUGACCUCAAAUCAGGUAGGACUACCCGCUGAACUUAA
rnacentral:misc_RNA from 1 species